CCCCCUCUCUCUCUCUUUCUCUCUUUUUUUCUCUUUGAUUCAUUCAUCAUUUCUAUAUCAAUUCGAACCUAGUAUAGUCCGGUAUGGGGGCAUAUUGAUUUGUACCAUUGGUUAGCCAACAUAGGAUCCAAUUCUAAGUCAGCAAUCCUUGAUUAAGCCAAGUAUGAAGCUUUAAUAAUCAUCCUAUAGAUAUUAGUUGAUAUAGGAGUCACAAUAGUUGAAAUUGAAGGUGAUGAUUUUCAAGUUGUGGUCAAGCAACUUUGUGGGGAAUAUAAAUAUAC
rnacentral:lncRNA from 1 species